GUCUACAGCCAUACCGCCCUGAACGUUACCAAUCUCAUCUGAUCUCAAAAGCUAAGCAGGGUCACGCCUGGUUAGUACUUGGGUGGGAGGAUGUGGUAAGUGCAAUGCUUGAUGAGC
ensembl:rRNA 5S_rRNA 5S ribosomal RNA